GAUGAACGCUGGCGGCGUGCCUAAUACAUGCAAGUCGAGCGAACAGACGAGGAGCUUGCUCCUCUGACGUUAGCGGCGGACGGGUGAGUAACACGUGGAUAACCUACCUAUAAGACUGGGAUAACUUCGGGAAACCGGAGCUAAUACCGGAUAAUAUAUUGAACCGCAUGGUUCAAUAGUGAAAGACGGUUUUGCUGUCACUUAUAGAUGGAUCCGCGCCGCAUUAGCUAGUUGGUAAGGUAACGGCUUACCAAGGCAACGAUGCGUAGCCGACCUGAGAGGGUGAUCGGUCACACUGGAACUGAGACACGGUCCAGACUCCUACGGGAGGCAGCAGUAGGGAAUCUUCCGCAAUGGGCGAAAGCCUGACGGAGCAACGCCGCGUGAGUGAUGAAGGUCUUCGGAUCGUAAAACUCUGUUAUUAGGGAAGAACAAAUGUGUAAGUAACUAUGCGCGUCUUGACGGUACCUAAUCAGAAAGCCACGGCUAACUACGUG
rnacentral:rRNA from 1 species